GGACCCGCACAAGUAGUGGAGCAUGUGGUUUAAUUCGAAGAUACGCGCAGAACCUUACCAACACUUGACAUGUUCGUCGCGACUUUAAGAGAUUAAAGUUUUCGGUUCGGCCGGACGAAACACAGGUGCUGCAUGGCUGUCGUCAGCUCGUGUCGUGAGAUGUUGGGUUAAGUCCCGCAACGAGCGCAACCCUCACUUUUAGUUGCCAUCAUUUAGUUGGGCACUCUGAAAGAACUGCCAGUGAUAAGCUGGAGGAAGGUGGGGAUGACGUCAAGUCCUCAUGGCCCUUACGUGUUGGGCUACACACGUGCUACAAUGGUAUUUACAACAGGAAGCAAGACGGCGACGUUAAGCAAAUCCUUAAACUCGGUCUCAGUUCGGAUUGCAGGCUGCAACUCGCCUGCAUGAAGUUGGAAUC
rnacentral:rRNA from 1 species